rnacentral:rRNA from 1 species
UACGUAGGGUGCAAGCGUUGUCCGGAAUUAUUGGGGCGUAAAAGAGCUCGUAGGCGGUCUGUCGCGUCGAAUGUGAAAACCCGGGGCUCAACCCCCGGGCCUGCAUUCGAUACGGGCAGACUAGAGUUCGGUAGGGGAGUCUGGAAUUCCUGGUGUAGCGGUGAAAUGCGCAGAUAUCAGGAGGAACACCGGUGGCGAAGGCGGGACUCUGGGCCGAUACUGACGCUGAGGAGCGAAAGCGUGGGGAGCAAACAGG